CAUUCUAUACUGAAAUUACCCUCACUACCCCUCCUCUCUUUACUCUACCUAGACACAGAACAGAAGCAGCUUUCAUUAGUGGGAUAUAUAGUGGUAAUAUUUGUUCUUGAAUGUAUAUCCAUCUAGUCCUAGAUCUGUAAUGGGAUAAUAUAGUGGGUACAUCUUUUCAGGGAGAAAUCCAAGAAGAUAAAAUGGUCAGAAUAUGGACAGCUGCUUUUUUAUUAGUAGCAUUUCUUUAAGCUUUUAUAUGGAUCUGGUAAGUUAGGUUUGCCUAUGCAGCUGAGCGUAACUGAUGCAUUUAUGAAUAGUGCUAUUCUUAAAGUUUGUGAGCAGUUAAACCAGCUUACAUUUGAUUAAGGAAGUAUAAUAAUUUCCAAAUUAGUAGGUUUUAGUUACAGGGUCAUUUUCAGACAAGGUGAAAAAGCGCAAGAAUAUGAAAAAGGGAAUUUUAAAACAGUAAGAUAAGGCGUUGGAAUCGUGAGCAAAUAGCAGAACAGAAGAGAAGGGGAAAAAGGGGGUCCAUGUUCUGAUCACGUGCUGCUGCCUCAUCUUUAUGAAGAUAGAAAUAGUACAAAACAAUUAAGCGUUACUUUUGGAGCAUGUUCUUUUCAGCUUCACUAUCUAUCUACCUCUUACCAAGAUUCAUCCCCAUUUUUGUUCUUGUUGUGCUUUAGAGGCAAACAUCAAUUCUGGUAAGUUUUUCAUCCUUUUAGAUUUAGUGAAAACUAUAUGCAAUAUUUCAUAAGCAGCCCUUUUCAUAUUUUCACGUUUUGCUUCUUUUUGCCAUGUCAAGAUGUGCUUUUUGUUUGUCAAUUGCAUCAACGUCAUGAAUUCAAGAGUGUGAGUUUUAGUGGUCGAUGAAGUGUGUUGAGAGGCAUAAGAAGUCUGGUUCAAAUACAAAACCACUGAGUGAUUUCUUUUACCGAUAAUUAUGUUGGUGGAAGGUAACAUGUACCUAAAAUUAGUCGCAAGCUAGCUUGGACAUUAUUGUUAUAAAACAAUUUGCAUAAACGUCAUGAUUGUGGAGCAAAAAAGAAAAACUUUUUUUUGUUUCAAUUUGAACAUUUUUUUAAUCAUUUCUUGGCAAAUAUAGAUGUGGCACUCAAGAGUCGUGUAGGUUGGGGAGUUUGGCAAACUAGGCAAUCCACUUACUACACUAUAUCACUGUAUAGUAUUUUGUAGUAUACUAUUAUCUUGGUGACCUGUAAAUUUUGUACAUAUACAUGUAGAGUUGAGUGGGAGGGGAGGUGUGGGGAGUGGGGACCAAGGUGGGAGGAACUUAUUAUGGUCCUUACAAAUAGCCUUAAUUUACGUGGGGCUCAACUUUGGUGUGAUUGAUUUGAUAAUGCAACUGCCGUUGAAUCAUGUGCUUUUGGUUUUCGUUAAUCUCUCUCACACACACACUUGUACGUUUUCUUGUUUUCUUCUUGCUCCUCUUUACACUGUGCUAAUCGAAAACUGGAACUGUUAAAUAGAUAGUCUUAGCUGUAGCUUUUGGUUGAAUCUAACCAUUUGUUUCAGAAGCAACAAAGAGUAGGUUUUCCCUUUCCUUGUUUAGUGGUGGCGGAGGCAGGAUCUUCACGAAAGGGGUUCAAAAUUUUUUUUUUGUAGCUAGUGGGAAUUGAACACAUAAUCUUAUGUAGAUUUUGAACCCACUUUUAGAUUGUGUUAAGGGUGUUCAAAACUUAAUAUAUAAAGAUAAAAAACAGAUUUUGCCUUAUAUAUAUACAGUGUAAUUUUUCGGCGAAGGGUAUUCGGGUGAACACCCUUGAGCCCCCUAAAUCCUCCCCUGUCCUUGUUUUGUUUGUUAACUACAAUAAGAAAGAAAUGCAAAUGCCUAUGAGUUUUUACUUUUCUUGUCCCUGCAUUGUGCAGAAAUGCAUUCUGCUGCAAGCUGAAGCCAUUAAGUGGCCAAGUGGGGUUAAUAAAAAAAGGAUCUUCAUGCAUUUAACUUCUUUAUUUGGGGAUGGAAAGUGGAGAUAUGGCUCAGUGCCAAUUAGGUGUUAUAUAUUGAAAUGUUGCUUCAAACAUCUUUGUGAAUAUUUUGUUUCUUUCAGGAUUUAUCACAUGAUAAAGAAUUUAUACUUCAAGUGACCCAACUUAGUGCAAGAAGCUGCUGAGAAGAAUGGAUAUUGACUACGGGAAGUGUUGGGACACUUCAAAGGUGUGUGUAUAUUUCAUUGUUCUUCAAUCUGCUUAAGUUUUUAGACUUAUUGAAG
rnacentral:lncRNA from 1 species